CGCCACAGGUCAACAAAGGACGCGCGUCGUUGUCGUUCGCGGGUGUAAAAAUGUUGUGCCGAGUUUCCAGGACGUUUCGGGACUGUUAACGGUGGAUUUGGGUCGUACUUCUAGGGGGAGGAGAUCGAUUUGGAAGCCGAAAAAUCUUCGAACGCUCCGUCAUCGAUCAAAGUGGCCGAUAAAAUUACCGGAGCAAGGAGCCAGUGCUUUCCGACAAUUUUCUUCGAUUUCUCUCGAUUCAGCUGACAGUCGACAUCAACUCAUUUGAGAUUUCAGGUCCAACGUCAGAGUCUGUCACCUGCCGUAUCACAAAUCCUGAUCAGACGAGGUUGCGACCAAUCGUAGACGUCUGGGAGAGAAGAAAAAAUGAGAAUUUCAACGAAGAGGGAAGUAACGAACGAAAAAAAAUCAUUGGAGUAGCGCGAGCUUCAAUGCAGCAACGUAAACCAAGGCGAAGUGAAAUAGAAAAAAUGGAUAACAGCAGUAAUCACGCCGAGCUGCAAAGAGAUCAAGGGUGAUGAAAGAGCAGAGGCAAGAGGAAAAGAGCAGGAAGGGGCGGGGGCGAGGUGAAGAAAGAGCUUGAUAAAAAGAGAGUAUUUGUGUACACCAGAAUAAGAGUAAUUCGUGAGGGUGUGUGUGUUGAUGCGUAACCGAGGGUUGGCUUGAAACGGCUUGAAAGUUGAAACAUGAUAUAUCCAGAGAGGAAAAGCAGGGGGGUGCUCUGUGCCAUUCCGGUGCAAGGGAGAAGCGAGUCUCUCUCUCCGCGACGUUUUUCAAGCCCGGCGGAGCAUCUGGCUUCGAGAUAAAGACACGUGCUUUCGAGAGCAAGAGAGGAAGGUGCCUCGUUCAAGAGAGUGAGGGAUAUUUAGGUGAAAAAAAAAAAAGAGAGAAAAGGAGAAAGAGAGGAGGUGGCACUGUAGUAAUUUCGCGCUCGGCGGAGACCAUAGCGGCAAAGACAUCCCGGUCGGUUGCACAUCCGGACGACUAUUAUAUAGCGCCGAGGUGGAUGAAGAAGAGGAAACGUAUACAUCUAUACGAGAGACUGGCGUAGAAAGAGGCAAGUGUAAGAAGAAGACGAGAAUAUUACACGGAGAGUGGUGAGGGCAAAGGACGACGACGACAAGGCCGACGAGGACGAGCAGGACGAGAAGGAGUACGAGGAUGAUGGUGCUGUGCGAAAGUACUCCAAGUACACCAGGGUACGACGAACCCCUAGCAAAAAGCACGGAAUCCUGUGAUCGUUUAAUUCCAUCCUCGCGCCGGUGUAGCUUCCGGGUAACUUCUCGCCUGAGAUUUAUUAAUCGUCCUCUCUCGGGCUCAUCCCCUGGUCAUGUAUAUACAUACGUAUACGUGACAUACGCACGCACACACACCCGUAUUCUCCUCGACCUUCCACGAGCGAACGAAGACUAUAUACCAUGACCACGUACCCGUUUUCACGAUAUAACCGAACAGAGGAGCGACGCAGAGAGAGAGAGAGAGAGAGAAAGACAGAUAGGAAGAGAGACAAUUUCAGCAACUCCGGAUACUGGUAUCAUAGCAGAUACGAGGCUUGCUUCCAGAUAACUAUAACUACAGGGAAAGAGCGUAUCCACAGUGAUAUUGUUGCUUGAGAGCAAUAGAGAAAGCUCCUCUUCUAGAACUAUACGAGUUGUAUGUAUAGUGCAUAUAGUUUGGUCUCAAAUAUACAUGGAAUGUUGGUUUCCAACUAUCUUCCUUUCUCACUUCAUCCCAAGUAGCAAUGGUCCACCUGCAUAUAUAAUCCCCCUACCUGUGCAAUAAUCCCUUUCGCCUUAAUACGAUUUCACGUAACCACACACUCAGGCAGAUUCACAUUUGGCUCUCUUUCUCUCCCUCUCGCUUCCUCUCCCUUUCUCUACCUCUCUUUCCCUCUUUUGACCUCUUGUUCUGUCUUCGAGGCUUGAAUAUCAAUGUGUCUCCGACCGUUUGUAUAACGAGAUUGCACCCACUUUUUUCCUCCUCUCCCUUCCUCCCCUACAUCCACGAGAUUGUUGUUUGAAAUAACGAUAUAUCUACUUUGUAUAUGAAAUACCAAGCUGUAUGAAGUACACAAAGUCAUUAAUUGUUUUGGAGGAUAUUGAAAUUUAGUCAAAUGUUGGAUAUCGGUGAGCGUUAUACGUACGAGCUUUCCCCACCAAACUCCGUCUCAAACUGUCAUCUAACUAUUUACUAACUUACACUCCCGGGUCUCGCCAAAUCCUCUUACACGUGACUUUCUGUGCCCACCAAACGUUUUUUAUACGACAAAAUUCUCCUUAUUCCGGUCCGGUCCAAUUUGAAGAGCUUGAAAAGGCUAUUGAUACGGGAAACAAAACGUUUGGUUUAUGCAAUCGUCGUAACGAACUCCUUUUAUCGUCAGGUUCUUUGAGAAUCCAAAACAGCUUUAUGCCACUCGUACUCCAGAUUUGAACCAUUUAAUUUCAACUUUGAAGUACUAAAAAGAAAAGAAAAAAAAAACUUUGCCUCAAUCUUCUCAUUGUUACUUGCAGGGUUCAUGGUUCAAUAUGAAAUGAAUUCGCUCAAAUUUCAUACUUUGAUUUAUCCAAGUUUUUAUUAAUUAACUUUUUAGGGAGCUUAAAAACAACUGACAAAGAAACACGAAGAAUUUUUGUUUCGCUUAAGAGGCUCAAAAAAUCGGGACGUUUCUUUGCUGGAACGAGAAAACAAAAUUAAACUUUCGAUUGAAUGGAGCAUUCAAUGAGAUAACAGUGAUAUCCAUCAAUUAUUCUUGUCAGCAUAAUGCGAUUGAUUUGACUAUCUAAGCUCGGGGUGAUUAUAUAAUGGAGCUUUAACCAGCACCCGCGUACAAUGAAAACUUUCCUUUUGUUUCCAAAAGUUUAACAUCGAGAAUUUGCCUCUGAAAAGCUUGCCACAUACAAAGGCAAACUUUUUGAUGCUCUGUUGAGAUAAUAUUGACUAUUUCUUAUCAAGAAUGCUCUUUCCAAGAUUAAGUAUAAUGUUAAGUGGAAAUUUUUCAAGUACUUCGUAACAGUAUUGAAAUAAUCUUCGUUUAUGUUCAAGUGAUACUCGAUGAAACGAGGAAUUGGUUAAAUUCUUCAAGCAUGACUUGCGAAAACUGCUCGCUGCAUUGAUUGCAAGAACGAAUAAUAUUGUUUAUCGAGAUAUUUUUAGUCUAUGCUUGUAAUGCUUUUUUUUUUUUAAUAUUUAUAUUAGCAACAACGCGAACGCCACGCGCCUGCUUUAGCGGUGAAAAACUAACUAAUGAUGGUGCCUGGCAACGAUCCAUAGCAAUGAAUAAACAAAACCAUGGCAAUGAAUAGAGGCUUCACAUUUAGAUAUAUCGAAAUGUUUUUUUUGGUCUGCGAUAUAGGGACCGUGCGCAGCAUCUACAGUGUCACUACGCGGCCAAUUUCAAAACUUCCUAGGUGCAAAUUAAAGCAGGCGCAUAUGGGAAUUAUUACUUUUCGCAUUAUUUAACAGAAUAAAAUUAUUAUUUUUUAUCAUGCCUCGAUCGAGAAAAUAUCGUUGCAUUCGAGAAUGCUCUAUAAUGCACAAUUUCGACGUCGAGACGUUGAAGUAUCAGAAAAAUUUUAUUAUUUCCCAGAGGGCACAGUCCAUUCUACAUGGAAAAGUGAGAAACGGACCAAAUGGAUCAAAAGAUUAAACACCGUCAAUUCAUCCACUAAACUUUCUGUUUCGACGACAUUUAAAACGUCAUUCGAUUCAAACAGUUUUUUUCCUUUUACGUCAUUUUGAUUUUGAAUGCGAUCAUUGUUGAUCGGACAAAAACCGUAUUUGAUUACUUUAAUCAUUAUUUUUAUCCGAAAAAUUAAUUAUUUUCAAUGAUUUACAGUCAAAAUAGCGUCAGAAAAAUUGCCCAUUCAGACACGAGAGAGCGCGCUCAUCGACGGUAGUACUGCUCUCUAUAGCUCACGCACAGUCCUCAUUUAAAUUUAUAAAAAAUGGAAUAUAACACAUGAAAACAGAAUGGGAAUGAAAAAUUGAGGAAAAGGGAUUUGCACAAGUGUUCCUUGAGCUUUAUAAAUUUUCGAACUCGUUCGAUGCAGUUGAGAGGUUUCAAUACACGUCGAUGGUUCAUCUCAAUAGCGGUCAGUCGAAGCUUAUACCGAUCCUGUGUACAGAAUCGUAGAGACUAUCCUCCGACGGGGCUGCUCAACGAUGUUUUGCGAAUUCCCGAUUUCCGGAUGCACACUGAGCACGGGGACAAAGUUGCGGUACCACAUGGACCCAAAGGUGUUUAACGUGGUUUACCAAGACGCGGAUCUCGCAGUAAUCCCGAGGAGGAUCCACCAAAUCCAGCGGUUUUCCGUUUCGAUGAGAAUUUCCACAUUAUCGGGACAUUUCGCUUACUUUGCAAAGAUGCAUGUUGUCCUUGCUUCCUCUUUCUCCCUUCCUCCCUCCCUCCCGCUCUCUCGCUCCUUCGAACUCGGCCUUUACGGAAAGGGGAUCGCAAGCAUAUUGAGCUUUGAGCUGUCCUAUUUUGCGAGGAAUCCCAGCAUUCGGAGAAUUCGAUUGAGAAGUUUCGAUCUUCUGAAUACCGUCCUAAGCACGAAGUGGAUAUUUCAUUAACAAUAUUUACUUCAGUAGAAACUAAUAACAAACUAGUUAUCAGUUAAACCAGAUUUAAUCCUCUCUCGAUGAGAGUAGAAAGAACAUUGUUCGACAUAAAUUAAUAAAACUCAUUAAAAAAUA
rnacentral:lncRNA from 1 species